rnacentral:rRNA from 1 species
UACAGAGGUCUCAAGCGUUGUUCGGAUUCAUUGGGCGUAAAGGGUGCGUAGGCGGCGCGGUAAGUCGGGGUGUGAAAUCUCGGAGCUUAACUCCGAAACUGCAUUCGGAUACUACCGUGCUUGAGGACUGGAGAGGAGACUGGAAUUUACGGUGUAGCGGUGAAAUGCGUAGAUAUCGUAAGGAAGACCAGUGGCGAAGGCGGGUCUCUGGACAGUUCCUGACGCUGAGGCACGAAGGUCAGGGGGAGCAAACGGG